UCUAUGUAAAUAUUUUUUCCUUGUAAAAUUAUAAAUUAAUACUAUUUAAAUAUAUAUAUUUCAUAAAAGCACAAACAAACAUUGUAUUAUUUGUUUUAUUUCCACAAUGGAAUUCAUGUCUAUUUUUUCUUAAUCUUAAAUAUAUUUUGAUAAUAUUUAGUUAAAUUAUAUCUAAAAACCAUAUUCGAGUCAUAUGAAACAUAUUUCAUAUACACCAAAUAAUAUAAUAAAAAUAUCAGAGUCUAGUUUCUAAAAUUUAAUUAAUGUAUAUACAGUAAAACUAAUAUUACAUGUUUGAUUUUGGAAAAUAGGCACCAUAUGUUAAAAUUAUAACAAUUGUGAAAGCUUAGAAAUGUACCACUCUACUUAAGCAAUUAAAAAGUUGGGUCAAAUCAUACUCAAAAGAAAGACUAAUAAUUGACAUGGAACAGAUUAAUCAUAGCCUUAUUUCCAUGUUCACGGUUGCACUUGCAGUUGCGCUGAGCUUGGAACAUAAGGGCACACAAAUGGGCACUAGAAUACCGGGAGCACAAAUACAAAUUUGUUGUGUUUUCUAUGAUUCAGACCUCUCCCAUAUUCACAGACUUGAAAUAUUUUAUCGUGUCCAAGUAUGUUAGCUCUUUGGUUGUAACGGAUCUCAGUCCGUGUCCACCAUUGUCUAGAUCGACAAGCACAGCAACUUUCCUCGUCAAUGAAGAAACUCCCAGCUAGACCAUCAACAUUAAAAAUAGAGAUGGACCUCAAUAACUUGCUCCAUGAAACUGCGUCUUGAUUAAUCUUAUUUGUGAUCCAAAUCUCCAAUGCCGGACCGUUCACCCAGCUUUCCUGUAAGACCGCAAGCUGCUCCUCUCUAACAAAAGAUAACGACACAAAUAUAUCUACACUAUGAGCGUUAAAUGGUGGAGGCAGCCGCUUACCAAAUCUCUUUGUUGUAAAAUCAAAAGAGAUUAUAUCCUCAAUAUUAUUUCUUUUACCCACUCUCAUCCUCUUUUUAGCUAAAAGAUGAGUAUUCCUUUCAGAGACACGCCAUUUUGAUAAAAAUCUAUAUUUAUUUCAGUAAAAAUAAUGCGUGAUUAUGAAAAAUUUCACUGAUAGAUUUGUGUACAUGUAAAGGGUAUAUGUUUUCUCUUUUAACUAUCUAAAAUGCUGCAUUUCGUGCUUUGAUUUUAUUAGUCGUCUAAUUUGGGUUUAUAUAUGUUUUUCAGUUCUAUUUUCCAGGACAAGUGUAGUUUACUAUAAUGUAGUCCAGUUUUGUUAUAUCAGGCUAUGUCGAGAUGACUGUUGCAGUAACCGAGUCAGUGUUGAAGAAGAGAAUGAGCGAGGACGGAACAUUCUAAUGCACCCUAAUUUCAUAUGUUGAAUGAGCUAGGUCCAUAUGUUGGAUCCAAUUGGUGUCAAAAUGUAUGCCUUCUCUAUGAUAACAUUCUGAUGCACCUUGGUAGAUUUGUGUACAUGUAAAGGGUAUAGGUUUUCUCUUUUUACUAUCUAAAAUGCUACAUUUCGUGCUUUGAUUUUAUUAGCAGUCUAACUUGGGUUUAUAUACAUUUUUCAGUUCUAUUUUCCAGGACAAGUGUAGCUUAAUAUAGUGUAAUCCAGUCUUGUUAUAUUUGGCUAUGUCGAGAUGACGGUUGCAGUAACUAAAACUGUUGUUCCCGAGUCAGUGUUGAAGAAGAGAGUGAGGGAGGACGGAACAUUCUAAUGCACCCUGAAAAUCAUAAGUUGAAUGAGCUAGGUCCAUAUGUUGGAUCCAAUUGGUGUCAAAAUAUAUGCCUUCUCUAUGAUAACAUUCUGAUGCACCUUUGGUUCCAGGGGAUAGGGAAGCAUGACAUCAUCUAUGUGGACGAUCUGAUCCCACAUUUCGUAGAACAUUUGUGUUAAAAAGUGUGCCUAUAUGAGGCCUAGGCUAGAGGUGAAGUUACUUGGACCCGGCGGUGAUUGUGGAAGUUGAUGAGAUAAAAUUGAAGAAGAUUUUGGAGGAGAUGGGGCUGGUGAAUUGUUUGUGGAAGUUGAAGAGUAUAAUUAUGAUGAUGAAUGGAUUUUUAGUUUUAAAGUUUGUUUUCAGCUUGUUUUAUGAAAACUUUAUUUUAAAACUUGUUUGAAUAGUUUAUUGUUCCGUUGUUUUCUAUUACCUAAAUACUUUUUUGACAUUUGAAAGUACACGCUUCAGUUCUUAAACUUGGAAAAUUUAAACAAUUUACACUAGCAGAAGUUCAGUCACAUGAUUCAGAAGUAAUCGUUAAGAGGAGAAAAACAAAAACAAGUAAAAAUUAACAACUAACAACGCAAUACAAAUUAUUUAAACUUCAAAAUAAAAUAACAUUUUUUAAACUUAAGAAGCAAACGUAUUUGUAAUUAAACUACAAAAGCAAUUGUGAUAACAUAAAACAUAAAUAUUGACCAAAUACCAAAAACAUAUAUUAAACUAAAUAUUUGAGUUAAUUAUUCUUGUAAUAGAUAAUCAUUUUAGGUAUUCAUUAAUAUCUUGUAUAUUUUUGGUAUAUUCAGAUAUUUAUUUGAGUUUGGGUUUGGUUCGGGUAAAACUCAUAAUCCAAAAUACCGUAGAACAAGACUCAUUCGGUAUUUAUGUCGGAUUUGGUUUGGAUUCAUUUUUAUCGGAUCGGGUUUGGUUCUUGUUUUUGGAUUCGGUUUAUUCGCCUAGUUAUGUAUCAAAUUAAAAAAAUUGUGUCAGUUAUAAUAUAUGUCAAUAUAUUUUGGAUUAUGUUUUAAAUAAGUUAUAAAUAGAAUAUGCAAUGUAUUAUGGAUUAUGGAUUAUGGAUUAUUUUAAAUAAGUCACUCAUAAAAAUCCAUUAGAGUUAAUUUCAAAUGAUUAUAUAUAAGAAUAUGUGCAAAGUCAUUUAGAGGUGAGUAUUCAAUCAUUAAUUCUAAAUUUUACUAUAUGAUAUAUAGGUUUAUAAUUUAAAAGAUUAAAAACUGAAAUCAUUUUUAAUGAAAUUAUGUGUACGAAUUACAAAUUAUCUAUAAUAUAUCUUAGAUUUUGUAUUUAAUCAUUUACUCAUGAAAUCUAUUAGACUUAAUUUCAAAUGACACCAUAUAAUAAUCAUUUAGUUUUGAAUAAAAUGAUUUUUAAUGAACUAUUUGAGCUUAACUGAAGAACACUAUAUUUAGAAAUCUAUGACACAUGAUUUACAAAUUAAAGAUCGGAUAACAUUUAGUUCUAAAACAAAAUCUAAAAUCAUUAAAUGAAUAAUACCAAAUUAUGGUUAAAUUUAAACUUUUAAAAGUCCAUCAUUAUAUAGCACCUCUUUAGUUUUAAAUACGUUAAAUUAGAUUUUAGUAACACUGAAUUUUAAAAUAUAUUAAAUAUUUACAAAAUACAAAAUCCAAUAAUAGUAAAUUUUAAAUCAAUUUCAUUAAUAGAAAAAGCAACAUAUAGUCGUUAGAUUUGGACUAUAUUAAAAUCCUCUUUCUCUUUUUUUAAACAAAGAACAUUUAUUCUUAAACUCCCUCAUAAAAAUGUCUUUGAAUCAUAAAUACAUCACUGAGAGAGCUCUGCAUCAUCCUAUUGCAAUAUAUAUAUCUCACUGUUGGAUUUAAUUCUUGUUACAGCAAUCAAACGUAGUAAAAAACUAGAAUUUCAACCAAUAGGAUCACUCUAAAACGAAAAUAAAAGAAGGCAGUCGAUUGAAAAAUCAUAGUGUCUCUGAGAACUUGAAACUUAGCAAAACAAUCAUCAUCAUCAUUAUAAUCAACAUCAGCUGCGAAGACAAUGGGCAAGUAGGUUAACGUGAGUAGCUUCCAGCCUGGGGUGAACGCAAUGGAGGUUAGCAGCUUUUCGAGAGUAUCACUGGUUUGGAAACUAUUCACGAGAUCAGGCUUAAAGAGACUAAGGGUGGUCGUGACAAAAAAAAAAAAAAAAAAAAAGAGACUAAGGGUGGUGGUAAAUUUUAUGCGUUGGUUCAAUUUACACAAGAGACACAUGCGAAGAAACUCCUCACGUGAUCCACCGAAGUCAACACACCCUAUUGUCUACGAAAAACUGAACCAACAUGUUGAUGAUGAGUAUGAGAAGUUAAACUUCAGCAGAGAUGGGUUUGAUGAAUGGAUAAAAACUACAGAUUUUACAUCAUGUUCUCUAACUUACAUCAUGUUCUCUAACUGGUUAGUCAUCUGCCAUUAUUUUAAAGUUUCCCUAUGAGCGCAAGGUUGAUUUCAAAAAUAAUCAACCAUUUUCACUAUAUAUUAUCUUACUAUGGAAUCGGGGUUUUCAUAUUCAUCAAAUACCAACAGCCUUGCCCUUGUUGUUGAUCCACCUCCAAAAAUCGAUUUGCCUUUUGAGAUUUUGUUUAGUGUUAAUUCAUUGGUGCAUGAUGCGUGUUUUCCUGCCACAAGUCUUGAUAUUGAGUUUUAUCUGUUUCUUGAUCCCAAAACACAAGACAGGGCGCAUUCAUUGAUUAUGCUAUUCAAAAGUUAUUGUGCCUUGGAAAAAUUUCGUAUGCUCAUGUUGCUUGGCUCACCCAAGAGUACUCAGAAUGGAAGAAGAAAGAAAAGCCUAUGCAAGCGAUUUUAGAAUAUAAACUUGGACUUUUUAAUAUACCUAGGGUUAAAGUUACACCAACUAGAGUGUACUUCUCUGGACCGGAGCCUUAUGAGUCAAAUCGUGUCUUUAGAUACUAUGACGAAAUUGUUGAUAUACUCUAAAGACUAGAUUUGACUCAUUAGGCUUCAGUCCAGAGAAGUACACUCGCGUAGGUGUAAUUUUGACCCUACGUAUAUUAAAAAGUUCACGUUGAUAGUCCAAAGUUGAUUUCGUAGGCUUUUCUUUCUUCCCCCAUUCCAAGGACUCUUUGGUUAGCCAAGCAACAUGCUCAUAGGAACAUUUUCCAAGGCAUAAUAACUUUGGAAGAGCAUAAUCAAUGAAUGCUCUGUCGUGUGUUUUGGGAUCAAGAAACUGAUAAAACUCAGUAUCAAGACUUGUGGGAGGAAGACAUGCAUUCUGCACCAAUGAAUUAACAUUGAACAAAAUCUCAAAAGGCAAAUCAAUUUCUGGAGGUGGAUCAACAACAGGGGAAAGGCUGUUGGUAUUUGAUGAAUAUGAAAACUCCGAUUCCAUAGUAAAGAUAAUAUAAGGGGAAACUGUUGAUUAUUUUUGAAAUCAACCUUGCGCUCAUAGGGAAACUUUAAAAAAAAUGGCAGAUGACUGACCAAUUAGAGAACAUGAUGUAAAAUCUGUAGUUUUUAUCCAUUCAUCAAAUCCAUCUCUGCUGAAGUAUUACUUCUCAUACUCAUCAUCAACAUGUUGGUUCUGUUUUUCAUAGAUUUUGGGACCUCCUUUUAACUGAAUCAAAAGAAGCUUUGAAGCCUUUUCUUGUGAGAGAUGCCAAUUGAUUUGCCUGAUGUUCUCAAAAGGUAUCUUCAUUCGGUAGUUUCACCCAAAUGCACCGAGAAAUGCAGGUUAUGGUUGCCACUUCCAAAAGUACCACAAGCACUGAACAGAUAUCUGAGUUUCUCGGGUGAACCAAAAAAUACAAAGUACAUGAGUAAACCAUCAACAUCAUGUUCCAUUGAAUCUCUGUCUUUACUGUCAGUUUCAUCUUUCCAUUCAUAAAAUUUGAGACGAUAGGGUGUGUUGACUUUGGUGGAUCGCGUGAGGAGUUUAUUCCCAUCUGUCUCUUGUGUAAAUUGAACCAACGCAUAAAAUUUACCACCUGGUCAACAGGAGUUUCUUGGCUUAAAGAGACUCAGCCAAGUAUGCGGCUAGGCUGGGACAAUCUUUCGGUUCUUCUAAAGAGACGCUCAAAGUCAAAGCUGAUGACAUUGAGCUAAUUCCUGAUGUGGAGAUCUUCUCUUUAGAGAAACGCUAUCCAGAGAACGGCAAGGAAUAAUGAAUUCCCUAACGUUCCCUACCAUUCACGAGGAAUAAAUUUUUCUUCUCGUUCCCUGCCAUUCCUUUUUUUGUAGAGAAAGAACAAAAGUAUUCCUUGUUAAAUUUGAGAAAGAACAACCAUUCUUUUUCAUUCUUGCAAUUUAUUCCUUUACGUUUAUUUUCUAUUCGUUUCUCUUGUUUCCAGAAUGGUCACCAGUCGAACCAAUAGAGUUUUCAUAUGGAAUUGGCAAGAUAUCUUCUGAGUUUGCUGAACUUGUGGCUAGGAAAUGCAACAUCAAAGGGGAUUCUCCAUCGAUCUGCUUUUGAAAUUAGACAUGGAGGGUACAAAGGAGCUUUGAGCUUGUGUGUAGAGACUAAUUCUACACAUUGUUUUGCAUUACAAAUUUUAUCACAUCAAUUUUUUUAUUAUUUAUUUAUAAAUUGCUCCAUGAAACUGCGUCUGGAUCAAUCUUAUUUGUGAUCCAAAUCUCCAAUGACGGACCGUUCACUCAGCUUUCCUGUAAGACCGCAAGCUGCUCCUCUCUAACAAAAGAUAACGACACAAAUAUAUUUACACUAUGAGCGUUAAAUGGUGGAGGCAUUAUAUCCUCAAUAUUAUUUCUUCUAUCCACUCUCAUCCCUCUUUAGCUAAAAGAUGAAUAUUCCACAAGGCAAAGCUCGUAGGAAGAAGAAGCUUAGGAGUAAUGAAGUUUUGGAAUUUCAGGAGAAUAAAAAACAGAAUAAAUUUGUUCAUGAGUUAAUUCUUUUAUAGGUUGCACAUUGUUGUAAAAAAGGCCUUUUAAUUAAAUUUAACGUUCAAUUAAAAAAGAAAGAAAGAUCAGUAUUCCUUUCAAAGACACGCCACUUUGAUAAAAAUCUAUAUUCCAGUCGAGAUUGACGUUAAAACCUUCCAUGAAUUAGAGCUCAAAUCGUAUAUUUCAGUAAUAAUAAUGUGUGAUUAUGAAAAAUAUCAAUGAUAGAUUUGUGUACAUGUAAAGGGUAUAGGUUUUCUCUUUUUACUAUCUAAAAUGCUACAUUCCGGGCAUUGACUUUAUUAGCAGUCUAACUUGGGUUUAUAUACGUUUUUCAGUUCUAUUUUCCAGGACAAGUGUAGUUUAAUAUACUGUAAUCCAGUUUUGUUAUAUUUGGCUAUGUCGAGAUGACUGUUGCAGUAACCAAAACUGUAGUUCCCGAGUCUGUGUUGAAGAAGAGAGUGAGGGAGGACGGAACAUUCUAAUGCACCCUGAAAAUCAUAAGUGGAAUGAGCUAGGUCCAUAUGUUGGAUCCAAUUGGUGUCAAAAUAUAUGCCUUCUCUAUGAUAACAUUCUGAUGCACCUUGGUUUUCAGGAGAUAGGGAAGCAUGACAUCAUCUAUGUGGACGAUCUGAUCCCACAUUUGGUAGAACAUGUGUGUUAUAAAGUGUGCCUAGACGAGCCCUAGGCUAGAGGUGAAGUUACUUGGAGCCGGCGGUGAUUGUGGAAGUUGAUGAGAAUGAAAUUGAAGAAGAUUUUGGAGGAGAUGGGGCUGGUAAAGUGUUUGUGGAAGAUGAAGAGUAUAAUUAUGAUGAUGAAUGGAUUUUUAGUUUUAAAGUUUGUUUUCAGCAUAGUUGACUUAUUUUAAAUAGUUUAUUGUUCCGUUGUUUUCUGUUACCAAAAUACUUUUUUGACAUUUGAAAGUACACACUUCAGUUCUUAAACUUUGGAAAAUUUAAACAAUUUACACUAGCAGAAGCUUAGUGACAUGAUUCAGAAGUAAUCGCUAAGAGGAGAAAAACAAAAACAAGUAAAAAUUAACAACUAACAACGCAAUAAAUUUAUUUAAACUUCAAAAUAAAAUCACAUUGUUUAAACUUAAGAAGCAAACAUAUUCGUAAUUAAACUUCAAUGCAAUUGUCAAAACAGAAAAAAACAAAAAUAUU